AGGACGAACGCUGGCGGCGUGCCUAACACAUGCAAGUCGAACGGAGCCCGCAAGGGUUCAGUGGCGAACGGGUGCGUAACACGUGAGGAACUUGUCCAUCGGCGGGGGAUAGCCGGCCCAACGGCCGGGUAAUACCGCGUACGCCGUCCGGAGCGCAUGCUCUGGCCGGGAAAGCAGCAAUGCACCGAUGGAGAGCCUCGCGGCCUAUCAGCUAGUUGGUGGGGUAAUGGCCUACCAAGGCGACGACGGGUAGCUGGUCUGAGAGGAUGACCAGCCACAUUGGGACUGAGACACGGCCCAGACUCCUACGGGAGGCAGCAGUGGGGAAUAUUGCGCAAUGGGCGAAAGCCUGACGCAGCGACGCCGCGUGUGGGAUGACGGCCUUCGGGUUGUAACCACUGUCGCGAGGGACGAAGAUCUGACGGUACCUCGAAAGGAAGCACCGGCUAACUCUGCGCCAGCAGCCGC
rnacentral:rRNA from 1 species